GACGAACGCUGGCGGCGUGCUUAACACAUGCAAGUCGAACGGAAAGGCCCUGCUUUUGUGGGGUGCUCGAGUGGCGAACGGGUGAGUAACACGUGAGUAACCUGCCCUUCACUUUGGGAUAACUUCAGGAAACUGGGGCUAAUACCGGAUAGGAGCUCCUGCUGCAUGGUGGGGGUUGGAAAGUUUCGGCGGUUGGGGCUGGACUCGCGGCUUAUCAGCUUGUUGGUGGGGUAGUGGCUUACCAAGGCUUUGACGGGUAGCCGGCCUGGGAGGGUGACCGGCCACAUUGGGACUGGGAUACGGCCCAGACUCCUACGGGAGGCAGCAGUGGGGAAUAUUGCACAGUGGGCGGAAGCCUGAUGCAGCAACGCCGCGUGCGGGAUGACGGCCUUCGGGUUGUAAACCACUUUCGCCUGUGACGAAGCGUGAGUGACGGUAAUGGGUAAAGAAGCACCGGCUAACUACGUG
rnacentral:rRNA from 1 species